UACGAACUGUGCGAACGUUAUUCGGAAUCACUGGGCUUACAGGGUGCGUAGGCGGCUUAGCAAGUCAGGUGUGAAAGCCCCCGGCUCAACCGGGGAACUGCGCUUGAAACUGCUGAGCUCGAGUCAGCUAGAGGUGCACGGAACUUCCAGUGGAGCGGUGAAAUGUGUUGAUAUUGGAAGGAACACCGGAGGCGAAAGCGGUGUACUGGGGCUGGUCUGACGCUGAGGCACGAAAGCCAGGGGAGCGAACGGG
rnacentral:rRNA from 1 species